AGGAAGGUUGUUUACCAGUUAAACUCCAACCAUUUGCAUCUUAGUGCACAUGCUUGAGCCCAGUAGCCCACCUCCUGAGAUCGUAUAAAGAAGCUGCUGGUCACCAGUUUCAGGUGUUUUCUCUGAGGGAAAGGGAGACGGCCAUUCCCUGGCACCAGCUGCAACCAAUUGUUUUAGCGAGACAGUUUAACAACUGCCUGACCUUCAUCUGAUGGUCGCCUGACAUUCCUGGUGAAUAUUGGAUUGAUCCUAACCAAGGUUGCUCAGGAGAUUCCUUCAAAGUUUACUGUAAUUUCACAUCUGGUGGUGAGACUUGCAUUUAUCCAGACAAAAAAUCUGAGGGAGUAAGAAUUUCAUCAUGGCCAAAGGAGAAACCAGGAAGUUGGUUUAGUGAAUUUAAAAGGGGAAAACUGCUUUCAUACUUAGAUGUUGAAGGAAAUUCCAUCAAUAUGGUGCAAAUGACAUUCCUGAAACUUCUGACUGCCUCUGCUCGGCAAAAUUUCACCUACCACUGUCAUCAGUCAGCAGCCUGGUAUGAUGUGUCAUCAGGAAGUUAUGACAAAGCACUUCGGUUCCUGGGAUCAAAUGAUGAGGAGAUGUCCUAUGACAAUAACCCUUUCAUCAAAGCACUGUAUGAUGGCUGUGCGUCCAGAAAAGGCUAUGAAAAGACUGUCAUUGAAAUCAAUACACCAAAAAUUGACCAAGUACCUAUUGUUGAUGUCAUGAUCAAUGACUUUGGUGAUCAGAAUCAGAAGUUUGGAUUUGAAGUUGGUCCUGUUUGUUUUCUUGGCUAAGAUUAAGACAAAGAACAUAUCAAAUCAACAGAAAAUAUACCUUGGUGCCACCAACCCAUUUUGUGCCACAUGCAAGUUUUGAAUAAGGAUGGUAUAGAAAACAACGCUGCAUAUACAGGUGCCAUUUAGGAAAUACCAAUGCCCUUGUGGGGGCAGAAUCACAUGGCAAAAGCUUUGAAAAUCAUAAAGAUAUAAGUUGGUGUGGCUAAGAUGGAAACAGGGCUGAUUCUUGAUUCCCAAUUCUCAACUCUCCUUUUCCUGUUUGAAUUUCUUUGGUGCUGUAGAAAACAAAAAAAAGAAAAAUAUAUAUUCAUAAAAAA
rnacentral:sRNA from 1 species